CACAGUCUGUUCUGUUCCAAAGCCUUGUCUGGAUGUAAUUGACAACUAUAUAGACACUGCUGAGGGGAGGGUGUCCGAUUCUGCUCGUCCUCAAUUGUUCUCAAAUUACAUGAUAAAGUAGAAGUUUUGGAUCCUUCAUACCAGAAAGAGUUACGGAUUCCAGUUACAAAGUCUGUACCACAUUAACAAGGCUAAUUGUAGCUGCCUCGAGCACAGAGCAGCCUAGAAACUCAGAAUUCCAAAAGCAAGGUGCUUGCGAUACAAUUAUUUUGCCUAUUUGGAAAAGGAAGACUUCUGUGAUUUGAGAUUCAGCUCUUUCUCUGUAUUGUUGCAAUCUGUUCUCAUGACCCUUAAGAUAUGGGUUAGGUUUUGUUUGGGCGCCGUAUGGAGACUAGCUAUUAGUGCAGUGUUAAUAUUGCUCAGUUAAAUCUUGGGGAGAUACUGUCUGAAGUGUGCAAGAGGACAUGCCGAAUUCACACUCGGCUGGCAAACUCCAUCCCUGGUUCACAGAGGCAAAGAACUCUGUGACUUGCAUGUGUUCUCACUGACUCUUCCCUCCCAAAGGAUAGGGUCAAGGAGUUCACUGAGGAUGCCCUCAGUGAAAAAUCUCAUGCAGAAACUUCUACUAAGGGCGGCUGACACUCCAGUGUCACACUGGGCAUCCGUGGAUGAGUUUCUCUUAG
rnacentral:lncRNA from 1 species